rnacentral:rRNA from 1 species
CACGUAGGGUGCAAGCGUUGUCCGGAUUUAUUGGGCGUAAAGAGCUCGUAGGCGGUCUGUUGCGUCUGCUGUGAAAACCCGGGGCUUAACCCCUGGCUUGCAGUGGAUACGGACAGACUAGAGGUAGGUAGGGGAGAAUGGAAUUCCCGGUGUAGCGGUGAAAUGCGCAGAUAUCGGGAGGAACACCGGUGGCGAAGGCGGUUCUCUGGGCCUUGCCUGACGCUGAGGAGCGAAAGCGUGGGGAGCGAACAGG